AGAGUUUGAUCAUGGCUCAGAUUGAACGCUGGCGGCAGGCCUAACACAUGCAAGUCGAGCGGUAGCACAGAGAGCUUGCUCUCGGGUGACGAGCGGCGGACGGGUGAGUAAUGUCUGGGAAACUGCCUGAUGGAGGGGGAUAACUACUGGAAACGGUAGCUAAUACCGCAUAACGUCGCAAGACCAAAGUGGGGGACCUUCGGGCCUCAUGCCAUCAGAUGUGCCCAGAUGGGAUUAGCUGGUAGGUGGGGUAACGGCUCACCUAGGCGACGAUCCCUAGCUGGUCUGAGAGGAUGACCAGCCACACUGGAACUGAGACACGGUCCAGACUCCUACGGGAGGCAGCAGUGGGGAAUAUUGCACAAUGGGCGCAAGCCUGAUGCAGCCAUGCCGCGUGUGUGAAGAAGGCCUUCGGGUUGUAAAGCACUUUCAGCGGGGAGGAAGGCGGUGAGGUUAAUAACCUCAUCGAUUGACGUUACCCGCAGAAGAAGCACCGGCUAACUCCGUGCCAGCAGCCGCGGUAAUACGGAGGGUGCAAGCGUUAAUCGGAAUUACUGGGCGUAAAGCGCACGCAGGCGGUCUGUCAAGUCGGAUGUGAAAUCCCCGGGCUCAACCUGGGAACUGCAUUCGAAACUGGCAGGCUAGAGUCUUGUAGAGGGGGGUAGAAUUCCAGGUGUAGCGGUGAAAUGCGUAGAGAUCUGGAGGAAUACCGGUGGCGAAGGCGGCCCCCUGGACAAAGACUGACGCUCAGGUGCGAAAGCGUGGGGAGCAAACAGGAUUAGAUACCCUGGUAGUCCACGCUGUAAACGAUGUCGAUUUGGAGGUUGUGCCCUUGAGGCGUGGCUUCCGGAGCUAACGCGUUAAAUCGACCGCCUGGGGAGUACGGCCGCAAGGUUAAAACUCAAAUGAAUUGACGGGGGCCCGCACAAGCGGUGGAGCAUGUGGUUUAAUUCGAUGCAACGCGAAGAACCUUACCUGGUCUUGACAUCCACAGAACUUUCCAGAGAUGGAUUGGUGCCUUCGGGAACUGUGAGACAGGUGCUGCAUGGCUGUCGUCAGCUCGUGUUGUGAAAUGUUGGGUUAAGUCCCGCAACGAGCGCAACCCUUAUCCUUUGUUGCCAGCGGUUAGGCCGGGAACUCAAAGGAGACUGCCAGUGAUAAACUGGAGGAAGGUGGGGAUGACGUCAAGUCAUCAUGGCCCUUACGACCAGGGCUACACACGUGCUACAAUGGCAUAUACAAAGAGAAGCGACCUCGCGAGAGCAAGCGGACCUCAUAAAGUAUGUCGUAGUCCGGAUUGGAGUCUGCAACUCGACUCCAUGAAGUCGGAAUCGCUAGUAAUCGUAGAUCAGAAUGCUACGGUGAAUACGUUCCCGGGCCUUGUACACACCGCCCGUCACACCAUGGGAGUGGGUUGCAAAAGAAGUAGGUAGCUUAACCUUCGGGAGGGCGCUUACCACUUUGUGAUUCAUGACUGGGGUGAAGUCGUAACAAGGUAACUGUAGGGGAACCUGCGGUUGGAUCACCU
rnacentral:rRNA from 1 species